AUACAGAGGGUGCAAGCGUUAUUCGGAAUUACUGGGCGUAAAGCGCGCGUAGGCGGAUGAUUAAGUCAGUUGUGAAAGCCCUGGGCUCAACCUAGGAACUGCAUCUGAUACUGGUCAUCUAGAGUUUAAGAGAGGGAAGUGGAAUUCCAGGUGUAGCAGUGAAAUGCGUAGAUAUCUGGAGGAACAUCAGUGGCGAAGGCGACUUCCUGGCUUAAAACUGACGCUGAGGUGCGAAAGCGUGGGUAGCGAACGGGAUUAGAUACCCUAGUAGUCC
rnacentral:rRNA from 1 species